CGAAGGAUGCAAGCGUUAUCCGGAUUCAUUGGGUUUAAAGGGUGCGUAGGCGGACUGAUAAGUCAGUGGUGAAAUCUCUCAGCUUAACUGAGAACCUGCCAUUGAUACUGUUAGUCUAGAGUAUAGAUGACGUUGGCGGAAUAUGACAUGUAGUGGUGAAAUACUUAGAUAUGUCAUAGAACACCGAUUGCGAAGGCAGCUAACGAAACUAUAACUGACGCUGAGGCACGAAAGUGCGGGGAUCAAACAGGAUUAGAUACCCUGGUAGUCCGCACCGUAAACGAUGAUUACUCGUUGUUGGCGAUAUGACAGUCAGCGACCAAGCGAAAGCGAUAAGUAAUCCACCUGGGGAGUACGCCGGCAACGGUG
rnacentral:rRNA from 1 species